GACGAACGCUGGCGGCAUGCCUAAUACAUGCAAGUCGAGCGAACACAAGAGGAGCUUGCUCCUCUUGGUUAGCGGCGGACGGGUGAGUAACACGUGGGCAACCUGCCUGUAAGACUGGGAUAACACCGGGAAACCGGUGCUAAUACCGGAUAAUCCUUUUCCUCUCAUGAGGAAAAGUUAAAAGUCGGUUUACGCUGACACUUACAGAUGGGCCCGCGGCGCAUUAGCUAGUUGGUGAGGUAACGGCUCACCAAGGCGACGAUGCGUAGCCGACCUGAGAGGGUGAUCGGCCACACUGGGACUGAGACACGGCCCAGACUCCUACGGGAGGCAGCAGUAGGGAAUCUUCCGCAAUGGACGAAAGUCUGACGGAGCAACGCCGCGUGAGCGAUGAAGGCCUUCGGGUCGUAAAGCUCUGUUGUUAGGGAAGAGCAAGUAUCGGAGUAACUGCCGGUACCUUGACGGUACCUAACCAGAAAGCCACGGCUAACUACGUGCCAGCCGCCGCCGUAA
rnacentral:rRNA from 1 species